CUACGGGAGGCACCAGUGAGGAAUUUUGCGCAAUGGGGGCAACCCUGACGCAGCAACGCCGCGUGAGUGAAGAAGGCCUUUGGGUCGUAAAGCUCUGUCGACAGGGAAGAAGUUAUUAUUGUUUAACAGAUGACAGUAUUGACGGUACCUGUAGAGGAAGCACCGGCUAACUCCGUGCCAGCAGCCGCGGUAAUACGGGGGGUGCAAGCGUUAUUCGGAAUUAUUGGGCGUAAAGGGCGCGUAGGCGGUCUUGUCGGUCAGAUGUGAAAGCCCAGGGCUCAACCCUGGACGUGCAUUUGAAACAGCAAGACUUGAGUACGGGAGAGGAAAGCGGAAUUCCUGGUGUAGAGGUGAAAUUCGUAGAUAUCAGGAGGAACACCGAUGGCGAAGGCAGCUUUCUGGACCGAUACUGACGCUGAGGCGCGAAGGCGUGGGGAGCGAACGGGAUUAGAUACCCGCGUAGUC
rnacentral:rRNA from 1 species